rnacentral:rRNA from 1 species
GGCGCGCCUAACACAUGCAAGUCGAACGAGCGAGAGAGAGCUUGCUUUCUCGAGCGAGUGGCGAACGGGUGAGUAACGCGUGAGGAACCUGCCUCAAAGAGGGGGACAACAGUUGGAAACGACUGCUAAUACCGAAUGUGAUCACUUUCUCGCAUGAGGGAGUGAUGAAAGAUGGCCUCUAUUUAUAAGCUAUCGCUAAAGGAUGGGCCUGCGUCUGAUUAGCUAGUUGGUGGGGCAACGGCCUACCAAGGCGACGAUCAGUAGCCGGUCUGAGAGGAUGAACGGCCACAUUGGAACUGAGACACGGUCCAGACUCCUACGGGAGGCAGCAGUGGGGAAUCUUCCGCAAUGGGCGAAAGCCUGACGGAGCAACGCCGCGUGAGUGAAGAAGGUCUUCGGAUCGUAAAGCUCUGUUGUCGGGGACGAAUGUUGAGACCUAGAACAUAGGUUUCAAAUGACGGUACCUGACGAGGAAGCCACGGCUAACUACGUG